rnacentral:tRNA from 1 species
GAGGGUAUAGCUCAGUGGUAGAGUGCAUGUUUAGCAUGCAUGAGGCCCUGGGUUCAAUCCCUAGUAUCUCCA